rnacentral:lncRNA from 1 species
UUCAUCAUGGAUGUUGAGGGGGGUUUUAAGCAAGGAAGAUUUAAUGAAGGGCUAGGAUUGGAGAAUUACCGGAUCCACGUGGGAGAUGCUGCUGCUGCUAUUUACGGAGGUCUCCGUGCUUCCUUUCGCUUUAGAAACAAUCUCUAGUAGAAAGUUCCUGAGUUUUGCAAUGUUUAAACUGGGAGAAAAGAGUGUGAAGCAAACAGAAAAGAAUAACCAUUCAAAAACUAUCCAGGAUUUGAUUCCUUACUCUAAGUCCACUGCUAAACUACUCAUCCAAGUCACCAUUACCUCUCACCUGGAUUAUUACAAUAAGUAUUAAACCAUCUUCCCUAAACUUAAUCAAUGUCUUCCUGCAGUCUGUUCUCCACCCAGGAAUCAGAGUGACAGCUUUAAACUGUAAAUCUGAUCACGUCACUCCUCUGCUCAAACUCCGAGACAAAGGCAAGUGCUUUAGAAGGCCCUGUGGGUUCUGGACCACUGCCCUCCCCCAAUCUCUCUGACUUUUUCUUCUGCUCACCCUUUACUCAUCUCUGCCAUAGGAGCCUUUUUGAUUUUCUGGAACGUUUGAUUUGCAGCAUUCCCCUGGCUCGGUGACUUUGCGCUAGCCGUUCCUCUGUCCUCAGUGGUCCUUAGGGAUUCUGCAUAGUGCACUUCCUUUGGGUUUCUGCUCGGAUGUCACUGUAUCAGUGAGGCCUUCCAUGACCACCUAUAACAUCUGCCGUCUCUCAGCAAUUUCCAUCUUUACCCCCUACUUAAUUUUUCUGCAGAGCCCAUCUAGUGUCACUUGAUAUGUUGUAUGUUAAUUUUAUUGGAUUAUUUGUUUAAUUUCUGUCUCACUUUGGUAAAAUAUAAGUUCUAUGCAGUUAGGGACUUUGCCUCAGAAAAAAACAAGGCAUGCCUCAUUAAUUUGUUGCUAGCAGAAUAAAUGGUACUUUAAAGGGAAAGAUGUUUCAGAAAGAAGAUUCUUAUUGAUUUUUUAUUCAACAUAUGUAAAGAGAUACAAGAUAUAAUAUUGAUUUUCUAUUCAAUGUAUGUAAAGAGAUAAAAAUCCUAGUUAAUAUAUGUAAAUAAACAGUGGCUACGUUUGGUAUGCUGGGGAAGGAAAUGGCAACCUAUUCCAAGAUACUUGCCUGGAAAAUUCCAUGGACAGAGCAGUUUGGGGGGUUACAGUUCAUGGAGUUGUAAAGAGCUGGACACUGCUGAGCACAUCCGCAUGCAUGCA